AGGCCUAACACAUGCAAGUCGAGCGAGACCUUCGGGUCUAGCGGCGGACGGGUUAGUAACGCGUGGGAAUGUACCCUUCACUAAGGAAUAGCCACUGGAAACGGUGAGUAAUACCUUAUACGCCCUUCGGGGGAAAGAUUUAUCGGUGAAGGAUCAGCCCGCGUCUGAUUAGAUAGUUGGUGGGGUAACGGCCUACCAAGUCGACGAUCAGUAGCUGGUUUUAGAGGAUGAUCAGCAACACUGGGACUGAGACACGGCCCAGACUCCUACGGGAGGCAGCAGUGGGGAAUCUUAGACAAUGGGCGCAAGCCUGAUCUAGCCAUGCCGCGUGAGUGAUGAAGGCCUUAGGGUCGUAAAGCUCUUUCGCCAGGGAUGAUAAUGACAGUACCUGGUAAAGAAACCCCGGCUAACUCCGUGCCAGCAGCCGCGGUAAUACGGAGGGGGUUAGCGUUGUUCGGAAUUACUGGGCGUAAAGCGCACGUAGGCGGACUAGUAAGUCAGAGGUGAAAUCCCAGGGCUCAACCCUGGAACUGCCUUUGAUACUGCUAGUCUUGAGUUCGAGAGAGGUGAGUGGAAUUCCGAGUGU
rnacentral:rRNA from 1 species